ensembl:snoRNA
AGCCCAUGAUGGUUUAAGAGUAGUGGGCAGAAGGGAUUUCUGAAAAAAAUCUUAGCUGAGGCU